AUUGAACGCUGGCGGCAGGCUUAACACAUGCAAGUCGAGCGAGCGGCGGACGGGUGAGUAAUGUCUGGGAAACUGCCUGAUGGAGGGGGAUAACUACUGGAAACGGUAGCUAAUACCGCAUACCAUCAGCUGUGCCCAGAUGGGAUUAGCUAGUAGGUGGGGUAAUGGCUCAACUAGGCGACGAUCCCUAGCUGGGCUGAGAGGAGGACCAGCCACACUGGAACUGAGACACGGUCAAGACUCCUACGGGAGGCAGCAGUGGGGAAUAUGGCACAAUGGGCGCAAUCCUGAUGCAGCCAUGCCGCGGGUAUGAAGAAGGCCUUCGGGUUUUAAAGUACUUUCAGCGAUGAGGCGUUACUCGCAGAAGAAGCACCGGCUAACUCCGUGCCAGCAGCCGCGGUAAUAC
rnacentral:rRNA from 1 species